rnacentral:rRNA from 1 species
GNGAUACUUCGGGAAACCGGAGCUAAUACCGGAUAAUAUAUUGAACCGCAUGGUUCAAUAGUGAAAGACGGUUUUGCUGUCACUUAUAGAUGGAUCCGCGCCGCAUUAGCUAGUUGGUAAGGUAACGGCUUACCAAGGCAACGAUGCGUAGCCGACCUGAGAGGGUGAUCGGCCACACUGGAACUGAGACACGGUCCAGACUCCUACGGGAGGCAGCAGCA